AGAAACUUCAGCAAAGAAAGAGAAACCAAAGAGUGCUGCAGUGGCUAAGAGAGAGCCAGCUGUGAAAGAGAAAACCAAAACUGCUGCAGCUGUGAAGAAAGAGCCUGCAGCUGCUCGACAGAAGAGGAAAUCAGCCUCUGAAAAGACAGAAGCAGCACCUGUUAAAAGUAAAGCCAAAGCUUCUGCAGCUAAGAAAGAUGGAGAUGCAGAACAACGUCCACAACCGAUCCGCCUGCGACCGAGACUAGAAGCUGUGAGGAGGGCGAAUGUGACGGCUCAGGCGAAGGAGGAGAAACCUGUUAGAUCUGCGUCUGAAGCAGCCAAAAUAAGAUCAAAGUUAUUGGCAGAGAAGAAAAG